AAAGAGUUAGUAUAUUUUAAUUAUCAUUGGUUGUCGGCCUUUAGAAGGGGUAUACCCCACUUUUUG
rnacentral:tRNA from 1 species